UACGUAGGGUGCAAGCGUUGUCCGGAAUUAUUGGGCGUAAAGAGCUUGUAGGCGGUUUGUCGCGUCUGCUGUGAAAUUUCGGGGCUCAACCCCGAACUUGCAGUGGGUACGGGCAGACUAGAGUGUGGUAGGGGAGACUGGAAUUCCUGGUGUAGCGGUGAAAUGCGCAGAUAUCAGGAGGAACACCAAUUGCGAAGGCAGCUCGCUGGGACGCAACUGACGCUGAGACGCGAAAGCGUGGGGAGCAAACAGG
rnacentral:rRNA from 1 species